rnacentral:rRNA from 1 species
UACAGAGGUCCCAAGCGUUGUUCGGAAUCACUGGGCGUAAAGGGCGCGUAGGCGGCCGAUCAAGUCGGGGGUGAAAGCCUGUGGCUCAACCACAGAAUUGCCUUCGAUACUGUUUGGCUUGAGACCGGAAGAGGUUAGUGGAACUGCGAGUGUAGAGGUGAAAUUCGUAGAUAUUCGCAAGAACACCGGUGGCGAAGGCGGCCUUCUGGACAGUGACUGACGCUGAGACGCGAAAGCGUGGGGAGCAAACAGG